ACACCAAAAACUAAACCAAUGGCACAACUAAGGCUGUCAACGAGCCAAGCACGAGUGAGGUGAAGCUGGCUCAUAUUCGUUUAUUUAUUAAACGAGCCAAAUACAAACUGACUCAUUAAAAUAUUGAGCUAAAAAAUUUAACUCAUGUUCGGUUUAUUUAUUAGCGAGCUGAAUAUGAGCGGGCUCGCAAAUAACAAUUUAGAUAGUCAACUCUACUACUAGAUAAAAAGCUAAAAGAAAAUUAAAAAAUUAUAGAAUCUUAAUCUAAUAAUUGAAA
rnacentral:lncRNA from 1 species